GUUCACAUCAGCAGCACAUAUGCUAAAAUUGGAACAAUACAGAAAAAAUUAGCAAGGCUCCUCCACAAAGAUGACAUGCAAAUUUGUGAAGCAUCCCAUAUUUCU